rnacentral:lncRNA from 1 species
CCACAUCAUUUAUUAAGUUAAUGAUGAAAAGUACAAAUAAUUAAAUUUGGGACUAAUUAAAAUUGACAAAUGCCCCAAAUUAAAGAGUUAAAAUAAAUAAAUUGGUCAUUCUAAUAAUGCCACAUGUUUUCAUAUUAAUCGUUGGAUUAAGUUAAUCAUUUUAGUUCAAUUAAGCAAAAAAAAAUAAGCUUAAUUGAGCCCAAAGACUAAAUAUAACCUAAGUCCAUAUGGUUGAGCCCAUGGGUCUGGUCCAUGGACCAACCAAGUUCAAACCCAUAAAGCCCACCAGUGAACUCUAUAAAUAGAGGAAUUCUCUUCAUUUGCAGGGGUUGGAAAAUUUUGACUCUAGAAGAUCUAAAGAGAAUUCUUCCAAGAGCUAGAAGACUCCCUAACUUCUGAAGUUGACCACCCUCGAAGAUUAAAGCUGUUUUGAAGAUACAAACUUUCUUCCAAGACUCCAACUUCAAGAACAUCACGUGCUCCGCUUCCUCAAAUCAAGCGUAAGCAUUCAACCAACUUGAAGAACAUCACGUGCUCCGCUUCUCCAAAUCAAGCGUAGACGUUCAACAAACUUCAAGAACAUCACGUGCUCCGCUUCCUCCAAAUCAAGCGUAGACAUACAGUUGAGAGAGAAUCAGAGGAUCAAAUUCUAGAGAUUGAACCGCAUCGCAUCAAAUCAACAAAAAUACAACAUCAACCCAAGUUUAAGUCCACGAAUUAAAUUUCUCCGGAAAUCUCGUGCGAACAAAUUGGCACGCCCAGUGGGAUCAUCUCUACCUCUCAUCUCUCUCUCAUCAUCUAGAUCUACAAGCAAAUCAAUGGCAUCAAAGAAAGCUGCAUCCAAAUCUUCAGCUGCAAGCGACACCUACACGGGACCUAUCACCCGUAGUCGUUCCAAGGGGAUCAUCCAAGGGCAAGACCAAGGUUCCGCCAUCGCGCAGAGCAUCCUGAAGCAAUUGAUGGAAUCUCCUAAAGCUGGAAUUGUCAUCAAGGAAAAUCCUCUAUAUAAUGAUUAUGAUUCUGCCUCUAGCAGGUCACUGAAAGAAGCACACCCAGAUGUGAUGUCCGUCAUGAUGGCUGAUGUAGCAGUCGAGACUGCCAUGGCGGAGAUGGAGAGAAAAAUUAAUCUCCUGAUGAAGGUUGUUGAUGAACGAGACCACGAAAUUGCAGCUUUAAAGGAGCAGAUGCAGACUCGUGAAACUGCUGAAUCGAGUCAAACUCCUGUCGUUAAAGUUGAUGACAAAGGGAAGAACGUGGUACAAGAAAAUCAGCCACAACAACAAUCAACUUCUGUGGCUUCUCUCUCGGUUCAACAAUUACAAGAUAUGAUCACAAGCUCCAUCAGAGCACAAUAUGGAGGCCCAUCUCAGACUUCUUUCAUGUACUCUAAACCAUACACCAAAAGAAUCGACAACUUGAGAAUGCCGCUUGGAUAUCAGCCUCCAAAAUUCCAGCAGUUUGACGGAAAGGGCAAUCCAAAACAGCACGUUGCUCACUUCGUCGAAACAUGUGAGAAUGCAGGAUCAAGAGGAGAUCAACUAGUCAGACAAUUUGUUCGAAGCUUGAAAGGAAAUGCUUUUGAAUGGUAUACUGAUCUGGAGCCAGAAAGCAUUGAGAGUUGGGAACAACUAGAAAAGGAGUUUUUCAAUCGCUUCUACAGCACCAGGCGUACUGUAAGCAUGAUGGAGCUUACAAAUACGAAACAAAGAAAGGGAGAACCAGUCAUCGACUACAUCAAUAGAUGGAGAGCUCUAAGUCUUGACUGUAAAGAUCGGCUCACCGAACUACAAUGUGCACCCAAGGCAUGCACUGGGGACUCCUCUACAUUUUGCAGGGAAUAAAGCCCCGCACAUAUGAAGAACUGGCAACUCGAGCUCAUGAUAUGGAGUUGAGCAUCGCCAGUAGAGGAACUAAAGAUUUUCUUGUUCCUGAAGUAAAGAAAGAUAAGAAAGAGAUGAAAGGUGCUGAAAAGAUAGUGAAAAGCACCUCGAAAGAAUCUAUGGUCGUAAACACAACCCCGCUGAAAUUCUCCAAAGGAAAGGAAGCGAGGGUUGAAAAGAAGGAUGAUGGAAGCGAAAGGCGACGUCUGACUUUAAAAGAAAGGCAGGAAAAAGUUUACCCAUUUCCUGAUUCAGAUAUCGCUGACAUGCUAGAGCAACUACUAGAGAAGCAGCUGAUCCAGCUGCCAGAAUGUAAACGACCUGAGCAAGCAGGAAAGGUAGAUGAUCCCAAUUACUGCAAGUAUCAUCGGGUCAUCAGUCAUCCAGUAGAGAAAUGCUUCGUGCUGAAGGAGCUAAUUCUAAGGUUGGCUCGUGAGAAAAGGAUUGAGCUAGAUUUGGAGGAAGUAGCUCAAACAAACCACGCUGAAGUGACGAUAAUGUCUGAGGCUUCUUCGUCGAGAUUGAUUUUUGAGCAAAGGAAAAGCUUGGUCCAGUUCGGGACCUUUGAGCCUAUAGUUGUCCAAUUCUUUCAGGAAAUCUCAUACGAGGAUCCUCAAGGAGAGAAAAGACCAAUCGAAGAAGACGAUGAAGGGUGGAUAGUGGUGACCCACCGAAAGAAAAGACAGUCGAUCCCGACCCAAAGAGAGUCUCGCUCUUACCAAAACUAUAGAAGAGGAAAUAAGACUCAAAAGAAUAAGAAAAAGAAGAAGACUUAUAAGCUUAAGCUCGUACAUAAUGAAGACAUGAAUUUCUCUCGACCUCAACGCUUAGUGACCUUGGCAGACUUCCUUCCAAAAAGCUUCCUUUGUGAUCAUCAGGAUGAAGACCCAGAAGUCGUUGCGUGUCAUGCUAUCAACACAACGGAGGAAGAAAUAAUCCCUCCAAGAUCACUAGAAGGAGAGGGAGUAUCAAAAGACCUUUCAAGGUUUAAUGUAGAGGAUCUAUUAUCACUUCCUCAAGAGACCAAAACCAUCCUUAUUGAUGCAUUGCUAAAUUCAAGAGCAUCAAGUUCGAGUACUCCGACUAUGACAUAUGAGAGUGGUUCUUAUUGUAUGUCUAUAGACUUCUCAGAUGAGGAUUUGUUGUUGGGAUCUAAACUUCAUAAUAGACCUUUGUAUGUUUCUGGAUACGUUCGAGAACAGAGAGUCGAUCGAAUUCUCAUUGAUAAUGGCUCAGCUGUCAACAUAAUGCCAAAGUCGACUAUGUGGCAAUUAGGCAUCUUGAUGGACGAGCUCUCAAGUAGCAAGCUAGUAAUUCAAGGUUUUAACCAAGGUAGCCAAAGAGCAAUAGGUAUGAUACGGUUAGAACUCAUAAUUGGCGACCUAAAGGCCAGCGCAUUGUUUCAUGUCAUAGACUCAAGGACUACUUACAAGUUGUUACUAGGGCGUCCUUGGAUUCAUGGAAACGGAGUAGUAACUUCAACACUGCAUCAGUGCUUCAAAUUUUAUCAGGACGGUGUAAAGAAGGUUGAAGCCGACUCUAAUCCAUUCUCAGAAGCUGAGUCUCACUUCGCAGAUGCAAAGUUUUAUUCAAAGAAUAAUAAUAUUUUAGAAGUUUUGCCUGCAGAAACCCCUCUUACAAAAGGAGAAGAUAAUUCACAACUGAAAUCACUCGCAACCACAGAACCACAUGAAAGUGCGAGAACCUUUAACUCUGGAAAGGGUGAAACAUACACUCGCAACACAAAGGGUAUGAUCUUGAAGAAUGAAAAUGCUGCAAACACACCAGUUUUGCGUUAUGUCCCUCUGUCAAGGCGCAAGAAAGGUGAAUCACCAUUCAUGGAGUCUCCAAAAGGUUUGAAAGUUGGGGACAUCGAAAUCAUAAAAGAAAGCUUCACUACACCAACUAACUAAGAUAGCGAAGCAGGAGGUAAAGGUAGAUCUGGUGGAAGCAAACUUGCCCCAAAGGCGAACGAAAGACGGAUUCGACCCCAAGGCUUACAAAUUGAUGGCGAAAGCAGGUUAUGACUUCACAGCUCACACCGAGUUUAAAAGCUUGGAAAUUCAUGACCGACUUGAGCUCUCCUCAACUCAAAAGAAGCUUCUACGGGAAGGACAUUCUAUACCCGUGUCGAGAAAAGGACUCGGAUACAAGUCGCCAGAACCGAUCCGUAUAACUAAAAAGGGGAAGGAAAAAGUGGUUGACAUCAAUCAUAUAACUAUAGAGGAGGAUGACAAUACUGACGUAAAAGAAGGUGAUAAUCAGAGAAUCUCAGUAUUUGAUCGAAUUAGACCAUCUGUUGCACGUCCCGUAGUAUUUGAAAGGCUAGGCAUGACAGAGGCAGAAAGAGAAAGGCUCCAGUCAGUACCAAACCUUGAGAGACAUUCGGUCUUUCGAAGGCUAACUACGACUCCGAUAAAGGAAGAGAGCACAUGCCAUGCCUUGACAGCUACAAGACCAUCAGCCUUUGAAAGGCUAGGUGUGUCUAAAAAGAAAAAUGUACAAGCACCCCGUGCUCCGAUUUUUAAUCAUCUCAGGGAUAAAGGAUCACACGACAACAUUGAUUCCAAUAUAGAUACAAAGAAGAAGGAACCAAUGUCUCGUGUGAAAGUUUGGCGUCGAAUUAAGCAUACAGAUGUCGAUAAUUAUCGUAGUAAGAAGUUUCCUUGCGAGACAAAGGAAAAUGGAGAAAUUCAUAGCAACGUUCCUUCUCGCAUGAAAAGAAAAACUUUUGUUACUCUCAAUACAAGUCAAGGUUCGUUAAAGGUAAAAAGACAUGAUGUUAUACUAACGAAUCCUGAAAAAGAAGGGUCAGAACAAGGGGAAGGUGAAACUUCAUGUCAUCACAUCACCAUUGUUGAGGAAUCAGAGACUGGAACUCAUGAAGAAGACGCAGAAAAUGCCCCACAAAGUUUAGAGGAUGGUGGUCAAUCUACUGUAGACGAGCUAAAAGAGGUGAACCUUGGUACAAUAGAGGAACCACGUUCGACUUUCAUUAGUGCGUCCCUCUCUAAUGAAGAGGUGGAUAAAUAUAUGAGUUUGCUCACCGAAUACAGGGACAUCUUUGCGUGGUCGUACAAGGAGAUGCCAGGACUUGACCCAAAAGUAGCAGUCCAUCAUCUUGCAAUUAAACCCGGAUAUCGACCGAUUAAACAAGCACAACGACGUUUUCGACCGGAGCUUAUCCCUCAAAUCGAGGUGGAAGUCAACAAGUUGAUCGAAGCAGGAUUCAUUCGCGAGGUCAAAUAUCCAACGUGGAUAGCAAACAUUGUCCCUGUUAGAAAAAAAAAUGGACAACUUCGCGUUUGUGUAGACUUUCGCGAUCUGAAUAAUGCAUGCCCUAAAGAUGAUUUUCCCUUGCCCAUCACCGAAAUCAUGGUUGAUGCCACUACUGGACACGAGGCGUUGUCAUUUAUGGAUGGGUCGUCUGGAUAUAAUCAAAUACGGAUGGCCCUCUCAGAUGAAGAAAUGACAGCUUUCAGAACUCCAAAGGGAAUAUACUGUUACAAAGUGAUGCCCUUUGGAUUGAAAAAUGCCGGCGCUACUUAUCAACGUGCCAUGCAGAAAGUGUUUGAUGACAUGUUGCACAGGUAUGUUGAAUGUUAUGUUGAUGAUCUUGUAGUCAAAACAAAGAGACGACAAGACCAUUUGAAGGAUCUAAAAGUCGUGUUUGAUCGCUUGCGAAAAUAUCAGCUAAGGAUGAACCCUCUCAAGUGUGCGUUUGGUGUAACUUCAGGAAAAUUUCUUGGCUUCAUUGUAAGGCAUCGAGGGAUCGAAAUAGACCAGUCCAAGAUUGAUGCCAUUCAGAAGAUGUCAAGACCUAAAAGUUUGCAUGACCUAAGAAGUCUCCAAGGACGAUUGGCUUACAUCCGAAGGUUCAUCUCUAACUUGGCCGGUCGGUGUCAACCUUUUCAAAAGUUGAUGAGAAAAGGAGAAAAUUUUGUGUGGGAUGAAGCUUGUCAGAACGCUUUUGAUAGCAUAAAGAAAUACUUGCUUACUCCCCCAGUGCUGGGAGCUCCAGUACCUGACAAACCACUAAUAUUGUACAUUGCUGCACAAGAAAGGUCCUUAGGAGCAUUACUGGCACAAGAAGAGGUAAAGGGAAAGGAGCGUUCUCUCUACUAUCUAAGCAGAACAUUAAUUGGGGCUGAAGUUAACUAUUCUCCUAUCGAAAAGAUGUGUCUUGCACUUUUCUUUGCCAUUGAUAAGUUGAGGCAUUAUAUGCAGGCCUUCACGGUUCAUCUAGUGGCAAAAGCAGACCCUAUAAAGUAUGUUCUAUCCAGGCCAAUCAUCGCUGGACGCUUAGCCAAAUGGGCGGUUCUACUCCAACAAUAUGACAUUGUCUAUAUUCCCCAAAAGGCGAUAAAAGGACAAGCGCUAGCAGACUUUUUAGCAGACCACCCAAUUCCUUCGGAUUGGAAGUUAUGUGAUGACCUACCAGACGAUGAGGUUUUCUUCACAGAAGUUAUGGAACCUUGGACUAUGUACUUCGAUGGUGCAGCUCGAAGAAGUGGUGCGGGGGCAGGCAUUGUCCUCAUUUUCUCCUGAGAAGCAUAUGUUGCCUUAUAGCUUUGCACUUUCCGAAUUGUGUUCAAACAAUGUGGCUGAAUAUCAGGCUUUGAUAAUUGGCCUUCAAAUAGCAUUAGAAAUCGGAGUGUCAUUCAUAGAGGUCUAUGGUGAUUCAAAAUUGAUAAUCAAUCAACUCUCGCUUCAAUAUGACGUGAAACAUGAAGACUUGAAGCCAUAUUUUGCUUAUGCUCGACAAUUGAUGGAAAAGUUUGAUAAUGUGAUGUUAGAACAUGUCCCUAGAGUAGAAAAUAAGAGAGCGGAUGCAUUGGCAAAUUUAGCCACGGCCUUGACCAUGCCAGAUGAUGUAACUCUGAACAUACCACUUUGUCAACGAUGGAUUAUACCCCCAGUUAGGCCUGAAUGUCAGGAAGUGAACAUGGCAACAUCCUAUUUGAUUGAUGAAGAAGAUUGGCGUCAACCCAUCAUAGAGUAUCUUGAACAUGGAAAGCUUCCAAAGGAUUCUCGUCAUAAAAUUGAGAUACGAAGAAGGGCAGCACACUUCAUUUAUUACAAGGGAACUUUAUAUCGCCGUUCUCUUGAAGGGCUCUUCCUUCGAUGUCUCGGAAAGGAAGAUUCGGUAAAAGCUCUAAAGGAAGUACAUGCAGGUGUUUGUGGAGCACAUCAAUCGGGACCAAAGCUUCAAUUCCAGCUAAGAAGAAUGGGCUACUACUGGCCUAGAGAUGAUCCAAGAUUCAAUAGACUAUGUGAAGAAGUGUGAGCCUUGUCAAUACCAUGCAAACUUCAUACACCAACCUCCAGAACCUCUUCAUCCAACUGUGGCUUCUUGGCCUUUUGAGGCUUGGGGACUCGAUCUGGUUGGCCCCAUUACACCAAAAUCAUCAGCAGGACAUUCUUAUAUCCUAGCAGCAACAGACUAUUUUUCAAGGUGGGCUGAGGCCAUUUCAUUGAGAGAAGCCAAGAAGGAGAACGUGGCAGACUUUAUUCGAACACACAUCAUCUAUCGAUACGGUAUUCCACAUCGAAUCGUGACGGAUAAUGGAAAGCAAUUCUCCAAUAGUAUGAUGGACAAGUUAUGUGAAAAAUUCAAAUUCAAGCAAUAUAAGUCAUCCAUGUACAACGCAGCUGCGAAUGGACUAGCAGAAGCAUUCAACAAAACAUUGUGUAAUCUUUUAAAGAAAAUUGUCUCCAAGUCAAAGAGGGAUUGGCAAGAAAAGAUCGGCGAGGCAUUAUGGGCUUAUCGGACGACUCAUCGCACCCCUACAGGGGUUACACCAUAUUCGCUUGUUUACGGUGUGGAGGCUGUCCUUCCUCUCGAAAGGGAAAUUCCGUCACUAAGAAUGGCAGUAGAGAGGGAUUGACUACCGAAGAUAAUGUGAAGUUACGUCUUCAAGAAUUAGAAGCACUUGACGAAAAGCGAUUAGAGGCUCAGCAAGCAUUGGAAUGUUAUCAAGCGAGAAUGUCCAAAGCUUUUGAUAAACACGUUAAACCUCGCUCCUUUCAAGUCGGUGAUCUAGUACUUGCCGUAAGGAGACCGAUCAUCACAACAAGGCAUACAGGAAAUAAGUUCACACCUAAAUGGGAUGGACCUUACAUUGUUAAAGAAGUUUAUACAAAUGGCGCAUACAAGAUCGUUGAUCAAGACGGACUACGAAUUGGCCCAAUCAAUGGUAAAUUUCUUAAAAAUUUUAUGCUUAAUUUUGUUAGGUAAAAAAAAAAAAAAAAAAGUUGAACUACGUUAUGACUUGAUCCCUAUAUUAUAAAGGGUACGUAGGCAGCUUAAGGAAAACCUUAAGCCCAGUCCAGCAAAAAAAAAAAAAGUUGAACUACGUUAUGACUUGAUCCCUAUAUUAUAAAGGGUACGUAGGCAGCUUAAGGAAAACCUUAAGCCCAGUCCAGCAAAAAAAAAAAAGUUGAACUACGUUAUGACUUGAUCCUAUAUUAUAAAGGGUACGUAGGCAGCUUAAGGGAAACCUUAAGCCCAGUCCAGCAAAAAAAAAAAGUUGAACUACGUUAUGACUUGAUCCCUACAUUAUAAAGGUACGUAGGCAACUUAAAAGAAAACUUUAAGUUCAGUCCACCAUUAUAAAAAAAAAAAAAAAAAAAAAACCUUGAACUACGUCUGAGUUAAUUCUUUUCUUCAAAGGGUGUUCAUCUCUACUAAGGAAUCAUAACAAAUUGGGGGCAAAUCCCUAAAUUCAAGAUGUUCAUCUUUAGUAACAAUGAGAUGAAAUAAAUUGAAGAUGUACAAACUCCGUGCAAAGACUAUGUACAAGUUGAGUGCAUGUAAAAAGAAAAAAAAAAAGAAUCUCAAAAUCAAGCUCAAAGGCAUCAUUAAUGAUCCCUCAAUUCAAGCAUAAAAUUUCAUUGAUGAUUCCUUAUAUUCAAGUUUGAAGGCUUCAUCGAUGCUGCAGCUCCAGCUCUUUGAGAGGAUAACGAUGGUACAACUUUGAUAGGACGACGAUCGGGCAGCUCUGCCUUCGCCUCUCCAAGAUGAAAACGACAGUGUAACAUCGUUUCUGCCUCUUGAAGAAGAUGCAUGCAAUGCUAAAGCUUUAACCUCUGCUUCAUCUUCAGCUUAUUGCAAACCGAAGAGGAUUCAUCUUCAUCUUCUUUCUAAGUUUUUGCAAUCGAAGAUGAUUCAUCUUCAUCUGCUCUAAGGUGUCGCAAGUGAGAGGAUUCAUCUUUGUCUUUCUCCAUGUGUUACAACCGAGAUGAUUCAUCUUCAUCUUCACCUAGGAGUCGCAAUCAAAGAAGAUUCAAUGUUCAUCUUCUUCGUCCAGGUGUAACAACCGAGAUGAUUCAUACUUUCUAUACUGCUCUUAAGGAGUGUCGCAGUGAGAGAUUCAUCUUUGCUUCUCCGUACUGUGUUUUGCAACCGGACGGAUUAUCUCAUCUUCUCCUAAGAAUUGGCGACUGAGAGAUUCACCUUCAUCUUCUGUUCAGGGUGUCGCAAACCAGAAGAAGGAUUCAUCCUUUAAUCUCUUCCAGUGCUUGGGCAACCAAAGAGGAUUCAUCUUCAUCUUCUUUCAUAUGACGUAGGCCGGAAGGAUUCACCUUCAUCUCUUCUAAGGUGGCUACAACCGAUGAGAUUCAUACUUCAUCUUCUCAUUGGAAGCAACUGAGAAGAGUUCAUCGUUCAAUCUUCUCCCUAAGAGUCCACAACCGAGUAAGAUUCAACACUUCAUCUUCUUUCAGGUGUCGCAAACCAAAAAGAUUCAAUCUUCAUCUCCUUUAGAGUGCAAGCGCAAGAGAAUUCAUCUUUCAAUCUUCUUCAUAUGUCGUAAGGCCAGGAGGAUUCACCCUUCAUCUUCUUCUAAAGGUUGCUAAACAAUCAGAGAUGAUUCAUCUUCAUCUUCUCUAUGAUGUCAUAAGCUGAGAAGAUCAUACUUCAUCUUCUCCCAAAGUGCUGCAAUCGAAAAUGAUUUUCAUACUUCUCUCAUAUGUCAUAGCCGAGAGGAUCAUCUUCAUCUCUUCCCAUACUGUCCAUAGCUCGAGAGAAUUUAAUUCAUUCUUCUUCCAAGUGCUGCAACUGAAGAGAAUUCAAUUCUUGCAUCUCCUCCAUAUGUCAUAGCCGAAGAGAAUUCAUCUUCAUCUUCUCCUAUAUGCGUAGCUGAGGAAUAUUCAUCUUUAUCAUCCUAACAGGUGUCGGCAACCUCGCCGAUGGAAUUCAUUCAUCAGCUCUAAGGUGUCGCAAGCUAGAUGAUUCAUCUUCAUCUUCUCCCUAGUACACAACCAAGAAAAGAAAGAAAAAAAAAAAGGAGAAGCAAGAAGAAGAAAGAAGAAAAUGAUGAAAGAAGAAAGAAAGGAAGAAGAAGAAAAAAAAAAGCAAAAAAGAAAGAAGAAAAAGAAAAACAAAACAAAAAGAAAGAAAACAAAAAAAAACAAAAGAUAAGAAGAAGAAGAAGAAACAAAAAGAAAGAAGCAAAAAGAAAAAAACAAAAAGAUAAGAAGAAUAGAAGAAGAAGAAAAAAAAAGAAGAAGCUCAAUUGGUGAUAACGAAGAUCGAAGCCCGGAGACGAUGACAGAGUCGAUCUCUCCUACUAGGGCGAUAGAUCUGACGGCAAAAGCCCGAUCGUCCUAGAAGAAGCUCAAACAAAGUCAUUUCUGCAAACGAAGAUUGAAGCCCGACGAUGACAGAGUCGAUCUCUCCUACUAGGGCGAUAGAUCUGACGGCAAAAGCCCCGAUCGUCCCUAGAAGAAGCUCAACAAAGUCAUUUCUGCAAACGAAGAUUGAAGCCCGACGAUGACAGAGUCGAUCUCUCCUACUAGGGCGAUAGAUCUGACGGCAAAAGCCCGAUCGUCCCUAGAAGAAGCUCAACAAAGUCAUUUCUGCAAACGAAGAUUGAAGCCCCGACGAUGACAGAGUCGAUCUCUCCAACUAGGGCGAUAGAUCUGACGGCAAAAGCCGAUCGUCCCUAGAAGAAGCUCAACAAAGUCAUUUCUGCAAACGAAGAUCGAAGCCCGACGAUGACAGAGUCGAUCUCUCCUACUAGGGAUAUCUGACGGCAGAAGCCCGAUCGUCCUAGAAGAAGCUCGACAAAGUCAUUCCUGCAAAAAAAAAAAAAAAACAAAACAAAAACAAAAAAAAAAACAAACAAAAAAACAAAACAAACAGAAAAAAAAAAAAAAACACACACACACAAAAAAAGAGAAAAAUAAAAAAAAGAGAAAGGGAGAAGAAAAGUUUUCUAUACCUUUUGCGAUUUGAUGAGGAAUAAGCGUUGGAUGAGGUAUAAGUGAGUAGGGUAUGAGUCUAUUUAUAAGCCCAACAAAUCCAAUUCCUAAAAGGAUUAGGAAUGAUAUUUAAUUAUUUUUUUAAAAAAACAAUCCAAUUCCUAAAGGAAUAGGAAUGAUUUUUUAAAAAAUAUAUAUAUAAAGAAAAGAUAAUCCAAUUAUCUUAUUUUAUUUUAAAUUAUUUCUUUUUUUUGGAUAAAUCUCAAGUUUAACUUUUAUUGAGAUAUUUAAAAUAUUUAAAAAUUUCAAAUUUUUAAAAAUAUAUAUACAUAUAUAUAUAUAUAAUAUUCUCAAUUCAAAAUUCAAGUUAAAUUAACUUGCAUAUAUGACCUCCUUUUUAUCAUGAAUUUAAAUCGGAGCCAUAAAUCCAACUUUACCUAAGAUUGAGGACCUGAUUUUUUUUUAUCUCAAAUUAAAAUUGGUCAUUCCAAAUUCUUAUGCAUCCCCAAGAUAAAUUAAGGUACGGUAGAAACCUUAUCCUUAUUUCAAAAUUAAAAUUUUGGUUAUAUUCCAAAUUUUACUUUAAAAAAAAAAAUCAUCAUAUUAAUUUUUUUUUUUCCCUCAUCAAUAAAAUUAAGUGGGAAAUAAAACUUUGAAUUUUUUUUAAGGUUUGGCCAUAUUCCAACCCUUAUUUUAAAUUUAAAUCAAACUCACGUACUAAAUUCAUAGUUUGAUUAAUUUGAUAUGUUGAAUUGAGUAAAAAAAAAAAGGCUCGUACUUUGACUUCAAAUUUAUUUUUCCGAGAUUCAUUCACCCAUAUACGUGCAUAAAUCUCGAAAAGGGGGCAUUUGUUGAAUAAGAAAUUUUGAGACCAAUCACAAGUUGCCACAUCAUUUAUUAAGUUAAUGAUGAAAAGUACAAAUAAUUAAAUUUGGGACUAAUUAAAAUUGACACAUGCCCAAAUUAAAGAGUUAAAAUAAAUAAAUUGGUCAUUCUAAGAAUGCCACAUGUUUUCAUAUUAAUCGUUGGAUUAAGUUAAUCAUUUUAGUUCAAUUAAGCCAAAAAAAAUAAGCUUAAUUGAGCCCAAAGACUAAAUAUAACCUAAGUCCAUAUGGUUGAGCCCAUGGGUCUGGUCCAUGGACCAACCAAGUUCAAACCCAUAAAGCCCACCAGUGAACUCUAUAAAUAGAGGAAUUCUCCUCAUUUGUAGGGUUGGAAAAUUUUGACUCUAGAAGAUCCAGAGAGAAUUCUUCCAAAAGCUAGAAGACUCCCUAACUUCUGAAGUUGACCACCUCGAAGAUUGAAGCUGUUUUGAAGAUACAAACUUUCUUCCAAGACUCCAACUUCAAGAACAUCACGUGCUCCGCUUCCUCAAAUCAAGCGUAAGCAUUCAACCAACUUGAAGAACAUCACGUGCUCCGCUUCUCCAAAUCAAGCGUAGACGUUCAACAAACUUCAAGAACAUCACGUGCUCCGCUUCUCCAAAUCAAGCGUAGACGUUCAACAAACUUCAAGAACAUCACGUGCUCCGCUUCCUCCAAAUCAAGCGUAGACAUACAGUUGAGAGAGAAUCAGAGGAUCAAAUUCUAGAGAUUGAACCGCAUCGCAUCAAAUCAACAAAAAUACAACAUCAACCCAAGUUCAAGUCCACGAAUUAAAUUUCUCCGGAAAUCUCGUGCGAACAAAUUGGCACGCCCAGUGGGACCAUCUCUACCUCUCAUCUCUCUCUCAUCAUCUAGAUCUACAAGCAAAUCAAUGG